rnacentral:rRNA from 1 species
GACGAACGCUGGCGGCGUGCUUAACACAUGCAAGUCGAACGGUGAAGCGCUUGCCUUUUUGGUGGGUGUGGAUGAGUGGCGAACGGGUGAGUAACACGUGAGUAACCUGCCCUCUUCUUCUGGAUAACCUCAUGAAAGUGGGGCUAAUACGGGGUAUUCCGGGUCUGUCGCAUGGCGGGUUUGGGAAAGAUUGCGCCUUUGGGUGUUUUCGGUGGGGGAUGGGCUCGCGGCCUAUCAGCUUGUUGGUGGGGUGAUGGCCUACCAAGGCGGUGACGGGUAGCCGGCCUGAGAGGGUGGACGGCCACACUGGGACUGAGACACGGCCCAGACUCCUGCGGGAGGCAGCAGUGGGGAAUAUGGCACAAUGGGCGCAAGCCUGAGGCAGCGACGCCGCGUGAGGGAUGGAGGCCUUCGGGUUGUGAACCUCUUUCGCCAGUGAAGCAGGCCUGCUCCUGUGUGGGUGGGUUGACGGUAGCUGGAUAAGAAGCGCCGGCUAACUACGUG